rnacentral:misc_RNA from 1 species
AAGUCGUAACAAGGUUUCCGUAGGUGAACCUGCGGAAGGAUCAUUAAUGAAGUCUGGAACUCCGGCCCUCUCAUCCUUCUACACUACUUGUGGAAUCUUACGACUGUUGCUUUGGCCAGGUUUCCGGAAGGGGCGAAAGCUCUGAACGGUCAGGUCGAAAGGCCGUCCUGGCCAAGGACAUUUAUGCCACCCUUUUGAUUAAUUGUCUGAUUUUUGUUUUAACAAAUUAUAAUAAAA